CUUCCGCCCAAAGGUCGCGCGGCUCCUGAGGCAAGCACGGGGAGUGAACUGCGCACGCGCUGAGCACAACGCUGUAGUCCUGAAAGCGCUACUUACUUCCUGCCCGAGCCGGCCCGGCCCGCUGGCUUCUGGCCUGGAAGCCCUUGGCCUGAAUCCCUCCUCUGCCCAGGUCCCAGGCCUCAGCGACACCAUUGUGCCCCUCCAUUCUGAGAUGUACAUCCUCCAGAAAGCUCCGGUUAGAACCAGUGUUAUGUUGUAUAGAAGUUAUGGAGGUACCUUGGAAGUUGUGCAAGGACGAGGGAAAAAAAUCCUACUUCUUGGCCAGAAAGUGAACCAGACAUCCCAAUGGCUCAACGAUUCUGUUUGUGCACAGUCACGGUCAUUACUGAACAAGAUUCAGAAGCACUGUGAGAGAUUUAGUUCAGGUUUGGGAGUUGCAAGGCCCUGGUAAAGGCCAUCCUAAAGCUACUUGGGAGGACUGAGUGAAUACAGAUACAGAUACUAAAAUUCAGUCUCGAAUCCAAAAAAAACUGAGAGCUUAAAAACAAAAGUACAAGAUGCAUGAACAAAUACUUGUUUGGAAAAGAAGAAAUGAAACAAAAACAAGUAGGAAACAACCAACAACAACAAAAAAUUAUUAGAACCUUGAAAAUGAAGAAGGAUAUAAUGGAUAUUAUUUUAAAAAAAACAGGAUAAACUCUAAGCAGAACAAGACUGAAGAGGUCAUUAGGAAAAGAUGCACAGAUAGAUAAUACAAACAAGUAAUAAAGAAACAUGGUUUCACCAAUUGUGUGUGCAUAUGUGUGUGUGUGUAUUAGCACACCAAUGCACCAGUGCACAGAAAUGUUACAUAAAUGAUCUGUAGCCACACAGUUAAUGAUUGGUCAGAAUUUGAAUCCAGUCAGUAUGAUUCCAAAUUUUUUUGUCAGGAGAAGCCAGAAUAAUAUAAAAGCAAUAUUUGAGGAGAUAAUAGCACUUAAUUUUUCAGAACUAAAGGAAGAAAAUAUGACUCCGAUCAGAAGCUCUGGAAAAAAAGAAACAGAUACAUAAACUCAAUUCUUGUACUGGAUACCUUGCAGUGAAACUAAAGAAUGGAAAAGAUUGAAGAAAUGUUAAAAGCCAACAGCCACAGAAGAGAUUAUCUAUAAAUGAGCAAUAUUUAGAUUGGCACACACUUCUGGAAAACAAUGGAAGUCAAAGAGAAUGAAAUACCGUCACCUUCACAGUGUUGAGAGAAAUUAACUGAUGAGAUGAAGCUUUUACUGAGGUGAAUUCUCAAGCAAGAGUGAGAGGAAAAUAAAGACACUUUCAGACUCAAAGACUUUUGAGAGUUUGCCAACAUUUUGCAUAUAUUUUUGCAAAAAGCAAAGACAUAUAAUAUAAAAAUUAAAAAUUGAUAAAACGUGAGAAAAUUAUAAUCUUUAUAAUAAAAAUAAAUCUAACAAAUAAGAGUCAUUUGAAAGUUAUUUAAUUUUCUAAAAUAUGUAAAAUUUAGGAGAUUAAUUUUUACUAACUUUAUUUUGAAUACCUCAAGAUUAUAGAAAAUAAUUAAUUACACUGAGUAGGUUGGUAAUGGCUGUCCAUAGCCAUCUGUCUGCACAAUGGCCUUUCUUAUUUAUUUUGUAUUUUAUUUCUUUUACAUUCUUAUUUAUUUUAUAUUUACUUAUAUUUAUUGUAUAUUUUAUAUUAGAUUAUUUAUAUGUACUUUCUUCCCCCACCCCAACAUAGUUACUCAAAUGAGUUUAGAAUAUAUGUAUAGAUAUGUAUUGUGACAUUUAAUAAUUAAUUACUUCAUUUAACAAGUUAAAGAAGUGUAAAAAAUAUAUAUAAUCUAUUGCUUUCAACCUAGCACAAGUGUAAAAAGUAGAGUAAAGGGAAAGAGUGGGAAACAAACUAACUCAACAUCUUAGUCCAAAAGAGAAAUAAAAAUAAAUGUAGACAGGGUAGGAUUCCUAAAUAGGAAAAAAAAAUUAUACUGAAGAAAUAACCUCUAUAAAUACCAAUUUUUAUAA